rnacentral:lncRNA from 1 species
GUAAGUUGCAAUGUUUUUUUACUAACUAUAAGUUGUAGUGUGUUGUCCUCAAUUGUAAAUACUAAUCCUCACAUUGUUUCAUAGAAGACUAAUCCUCGCAUUGUUGGUGAUGUUGCCGCUAUUAGAUCGGAUAUCUUUACCUCACGAAUUUCAAGCGCUUGGAGCAAAUGAUGUUCCAGUUAGGAUUCACAAGUGGUGCUUCGUCACAAAAUAUUGCAGAUGAGCUGCGCUCAAGCUUCCAGUAAACAUCCUUUAUUUAUGCUCCUCUGGNNNNNNNNNNNNNNNNNNNNNNNNUUAUGCUCCUCUGGUUCCGGUUUUAAUCUACGGCUGUGCUUACUAAUGGAUGUUUCUGUCAGGAAAACAACCUCAACUUCUGGACAAUCUCAGCAACCUGCAAAGCGAUGAGCAGUUUCAGUAUAUGUAAUGAACUGAACCGGAGUUUCUUUGAUGAUGCAGCGACUGAUACAAGCACGAGUGACUUGCGGCACAUGUGUUCCAAAAGUUGAUUUCAGAGAAAAAUGAGUGAAUGUUGUUUGUGUGUAGGCAAGACCGAGUUAGUUGAGGAACAUCUAUGCUGCGUGCGUACUAGAGGCUGUGCAAGANNNNN